AGUGAACGCUGGCGGUAGGCCUAACACAUGCAAGUCGAACGGCCACCUUCUAAUAUCUUGCUCUUACGGGUGGCUAGUGGCUGACGGGUUACGCAUCCAUUCGGAUCUACUCUUUCGUAGUGGAUCUCGUAGGGGAUCUUACCCUAAUACCGCAUACUUCCUACGGGUGAAAGCAGGGGAUCUUCGUUCCUUGCGCGGUUGAGUGAGCCGAUGUCGAAUUAGCUAGUUGGCGGGGUAAAGGCCCACUGAUGCGCCGAUCCGUAGCUGGUCUGAGAGGAUGAUCCGGCAGACUGGAACUGAGACACGGCCCAGACACCUACGGGAGGACGCAGUGGGGAAUAUUGGACAAUGGGGGAAAGCCUGAUACAGCAAUACCGCGUGGGUGAAGAAGGAGUUAGGGUUGGAAAGCCAUUAUGUUGGGAAAGAAAAGAAGCAGGUUAAUACGGCGCUGUACUGACGGUACCGAAAGAAUAAGCACCGGCUAACUUCGUG
rnacentral:rRNA from 1 species